GAUGAACGCUGGCGGCGUGCCUAAUACAUGCAAGUCGAGCGAACAGACGAGGAGCUUGCUCCUCUGACGUUAGCGGCGGACGGGUGAGUAACACGUGGAUAACCUACCUAUAAGACUGGGAUAACUUCGGGAAACCGGAGCUAAUACCGGAUAAUAUAUUGAACCGCAUGGUUCAAUAGUGAAAGACGGUUUUGCUGUCACUUAUAGAUGGAUCCGCGCCGCAUUAGCUAGUUGGUAAGGUAACGGCUUACCAAGGCAACGAUGCGUAGCCGACCUGAGAUGGUGAUCGGCCACACUGGAACUGAGACACGGUCCAGACUCCUACGGGAGGCAGCAGUAGGGAAUCUUCCGCAAUGGGCGAAAGCCUGACGGAGCAACGCCGCGUGAGUGAUGAAGGUCUUCGGAUCGUAAAACUCUGUUAUUAGGGAAGAACAAAUGUGUAAGUAACUAUGCACGUCUUGACGGUACCUAAUCAGAAAGCAACGGCUAACUACGUG
rnacentral:rRNA from 1 species